rnacentral:tRNA from 1 species
AUAUGGCGGAGUGGUCAAACGCACUAGAUUGUGGUUCUAGUAGUUAGGUGUCGCGGGUUCGAUUCCCGUCUAU